rnacentral:tRNA from 1 species
GCGGAUGUGGCGGAACGGCAGACGCUGCGGACUUAAACUCCGCUGGGGAGACCCGUGUGGGUUCGAAUCCCACCAUCCGCA